rnacentral:rRNA from 1 species
AUUGAACGCUGGCGGCAUGCCUUACACAUGCAAGUCGAACGGCAGCACGGGAGCAAUCCUGGUGGCGAGUGGCGAACGGGUGAGUAAUAUAUCGGAACGUGCCCGGUCGUGGGGGAUAACGUAGCGAAAGCUACGCUAAUACCGCAUACGAUCUACGGAUGAAAGCGGGGGGAUCGCAAGACCUCAUGCUCAUGGAGCGGCCGAUAUCUGAUUAGCUAGUUGGUGGGGUAAAGGCCUACCAAGGCAUCGAUCAGUAGCUGGUCUGAGAGGACGACCAGCCACACUGGAACUGAGACACGGUCCAGACUCCUACGGGAGGCAGCAGUGGGGAAUUUUGGACAAUGGGGGNAACCCUGAUCCAGCAAUGCCGCGUGAGUGAAGAAGGCCUUCGGUUGG